CAUAUAUGGAUAGAAGAGUAUUGCUGCAUGGCUAUUGGCUGCAGCCGAAGUUCGCGGUGCUGAUUGGCUGAGCAAUACUGUGAUAGAGUGAGACCAACAGCAGAUGUUCCAGAAAUCUCCCUGAGAUUGAUCAUUGAGCUUUAUCUCUUGAGCAAUUCUUGAGAUCACAGCAUUACGAGCACUAAAGACUCUCCACUGCACAAUAUCUGACCUUCUAUUCAGAGCACGACCUGCGUUUUUCACUGCAGCUGAACGCCUGGUUUUGGAUUUUCUACAAGCAGCAGUUCUUCUGUAUUGUUUUUCCCUCCCCUCCCCAACCCCCAUCCCUUCCCAAUCCUCCACCAAAAAAAAAAAAAAAAAAUUUCCUUCAUUUUAA